UCAAGAAACUUCCACAAUGGGCGAAAGCCUGAUGGAGCGACGUCGCGUGAUGGACGAAGUGCUUCGGCACGUAAACAUCUUUUAUGUGGGAUGAAAUUAUUGACAGUACCACAUGAAUAAGGGGCUCCUAACUCUGUGCCAGCAGGAGCGGUAAUACAGAGGCCCCAAGCGUUAUCCGGAAUCACUGGGCGUAAAGGGUGUCGAGGCGGUUGUAUUAGUCGUUCGUAAAAUCUACGAGCUUAACUUGUAGGCGGCGAACGAAACGGUACGACUUGAGGUUUGGAGAGGUGCGUGGAACUCACGGUGUAGGGGUGAAAUCCGUUGAUAUCGUGGGGAACACCAAAGGCGAAGGCAGCGCACUGGCCAAAAUCUGACGCUCACACACGAAAGCUAGGGUAGCGAAGGGGAUUAGAUACCCAUGUAGUCCCUGAGCGGGCUGGCAAGGCGCAU
rnacentral:rRNA from 1 species